GCUGGUGUAAAGACGCCAGUAAGUGGAUUGCUAGGCUUGAGGAGAGAUGAAGGACGUGGCAAGCUGCGAUAAGCCCGGGGUAGGCGCACGCGACCUUUGAUCCCGGGAUGUCCGAAUGAGAAUCUUGUUUUUUAAACACUCCGUUGCAAUGGCAGCGGAGAUCGAACCGUCGGAAUUGAAGCAUCUUAGUACGACGAGGAAAAGAAAUCAAUUGAGAUUUCCCAAGUAGUGGCGAACGAAACGGAAAUAGCCCAAACUGAAUCUGUUAUGGUAACAUAUCAGAGAUGUGGUGUUUUGGUUAUGAUAUUACGAUCCUAGAAUACAGCUGAAGUGUUCUGGAACGUACCGGCGAAGUGGGUGAUACCCCCGUAAGCGAAGUAGUAUAGGAUCUUAUCAUGACCCGAGUAGCUGUCCUUGGCAGUGGGCAGUGAAUAUAGGUGAAAGUAGUAUCUUAGGCUAAAUAUUUCUCAAGACCGAUAGUGAACUAGUACCGUGAGGGAAAGCUGAAAAGAACCCCGGAAGGGGGCUGAAAAGCGCAUGAAACUUACUGGUUACAGACGUGCAUGGCAUGAAAGGUGAUUUUUUCAUACUGGAGGUUCUAGCAAUAGAGCUAAAGGUUUGGAGGUCAAAUCAUCAGUGUCAUGCGUUCCGUCUCGAAACACGGGCCAGGGAGCUUAUUGUCAUGGCAAGUCUAAGCCCUUAAAGGUGAAGGCGAAGGGAAACCGAGUUCUCGCAACUUUUGUGAGGAGAAGCGUGUGAAAGUGCGUUGAGUCAUGGCGGUAAGGCUAGAAGCCAGUCGAUCUAUUCCUGAGCAAGCUGAAGGUGGGCGAAAGCCCGCUGGAAGGCUGUAGCAGUUCUGACGUGCAAAUCGUUUGUGUGACUUGGGAAUAGGGGUCAAGAACCAAUCUAGACUGGCGAUCGCUAGUUCCAACCGAAGCGUCUCGCAGGGCGUCCUCUGUGGAGAUAGCAUUUCCUGUAGAGCACUGAUCUUUUGGUAUGGGGGAGAAAUCCCUCGCCAUCAUUUCAAACUCCGAAUGGAUAUGCAUCGUAGAAGCAGGGAGACGGGUUCGUGUGACGUAAGGUUCACGACCGAAAGGGGUUUAACCCAGACUGAAGUUAAGGUCCCCAAAUUUUUGCUAAGUGUCAAGCCAAAGGGCGUGUUCGCGCCAAGACAGCAGGGAGGUAAGCUCAGAAGCAGCUAUCCUUUAAAAAGUGUGUAACAACUUACCUGCCGAGUGUGGGCGCCCCGAAAACGGACGGGGCUAAAGCAAAGUACCGAUACUUCAGAUACUUGUUAAUUUACAAGUCAUGGUAGGUUGGCGUAGUGAUUGGGUCGAAGCAGGGCAGUGAUGUCCUGUGGACCGAUUUCUAUUGCAGAUCCUGGUGGCAGUAACAGCAUAGUAGAGUGAGAACCUCUACCACCGCAAGCGCAAGGGUUUCCAGGCAAUGCGCUAUCAGCCUGGAGUUAGUCGAUCCUAAAAAUUACCUCAACAGAGUAAUUUGAAUGGGAAACUGGUUAAUAUUCCAGUACCUUGCAAACACGUUAUUAUCUAUAUGAUUUGCUUCUAGAUAGGGAAUGUAGAACCAUCGUUUUAUCUAACUGCUCAAGAUUCGGGGAGUGUCGUAAUGACGAGAACUGAUUCGAGGCAGGAAUGGCUUUGCGUUAGCAGAGUUUUCCCAAAUCCAGGAGACCUUGAAAGCUCGUAUAGAAAGUGUUUGUGAUGAUCGUACCGAGAACCGACACAGGUGCGCUGGCUUAGAAAGCUAAGGUGCUACGGGUAUACCGUAUGGCGAGGGAAUUCGGCAAAUUAGUCCUGUAGCUUCGGUAUAAGGGAUGCCUGCUGUUUUAAUGAGGAAUUGGGACAGCAGGUUGCAAUGACUAGGGGGUUCCGACUGUUUAAUAAAAACACAGGUGACUGCUAGUCCGAAAGGAUUUGUAUAGUCACUGAAUCCUGGCCGGUGCAGGUACCUAAAACUUGGGUUCAACCGAGCUAAGGGCCUGUUAACGCCGGGAGUAACUCUGACUCUCUCUAGGUAGCCAAAUGCCUUGUCGGGUAAGUUUCGACGCGCAUGAAUGGAACAACGAGAGCCCCACUGUCCCCGCCUACAACCCGGUGAAGCCACAUAACGUGGACGAACAGUCCAUUAUCUGUCUCUUAUAUACCUCUGAUGCCUCCCACGAACCCUUACUCACUCCUGUCCG
rnacentral:rRNA from 1 species